GGGCCCAUAGCUCAGUUGGUUAGAGCUCCCGGCUCAUAACCGGGCGGUCCCAGGUUCGAUCCCUGGUGGGCCCACCA
rnacentral:tRNA from 1 species